ACGACCGGGAAUUAGCGCAGCACUGAAUCCUGUAUCUUUGAUACUAGGAGUUGUAGUGUAAAGGUUGGAUCUUUAAUGGUAGAAUGCAUUCCAAAUUCACUUGAAUGUGAUGUUGUCCAGAGAGGGUGUCAGACCCGUUGGAAUGUGUGAAACUGUUAAUGAUGCUUCCUAUGAGUCGGAUUGUUUGAGAAUGCAGUCCAAAUUGGGUGGUAAACUUCAUCUAACGCUAAAUACUUGUGCUAGUCCGAUAGAAAACAAGUACCGUGAGGGAAAGUUGAAAAGAACUCUGAAGAGAGAGUUAAAUAGUACGUGAAAUCGCUUAGAGGUAAACGAGUGGAGCCGAAAAUGUUGUGUAGGAUUCAGUUGUUUGUGUUUUGUACGGUAUUGGUGAUAUCUUUAAUGCUGGGAAUUACCAAUACCUUUUAACUUUGAAAUACAAAUGAUGCACUUUCUAUGCAACAAAGCUGCAAUCGAUAGCGUUGUUUUUCUGUCGUAAUGAAGAAGGUGAACAAUUUUUCGGAAUUGUUUUUAUAGCUUUUUUACACGGUUAAUCAAUUUAUCGGUGAAUGCGAAUAUUCAUUGUUGGUGAUUGCUAAUAUGAAUUGUUUGAUUGUAAACUUUUUAUGAGAUUACUUUCAAAUCGUUCAUGUUGGCGUUAUUAAUGGAGUAUUCAAAAUNUGCAGUGUAUAUGUAGGUUACCUACUCGUCCCGUCUUGAAACACGGACCAAGGAGUUUUAUAUGAUCGCGAGUCAAAGGGCUUUACGAAACCCCAGGGCGCAAUAAACGUAAAGGCUUGCAUUGGUAAGCUGAAAUAUGACCUCACUCUCGAACCGAAAGCGAGAGCAAUAUUAACCCGUCUGAAGAAUUUCGAUUCUGGGCGGAGUUUGAGCGAUCAUGUAGAGACCCGAAAGAUGGUGAACUAUGCUUGUGCAGGUUGAAGUCAGGGGAAACUCUGAUGGAGGACCGAAGCGGUUCUGACGUGCAAAUCGAUCGUCGGACAUGAGUAUAGGGGCGAAAGACUAAUCGAACCAUCUAGUAGCUGGUUCCCUCCGAAGUUUCCCUCAGGAUAGCUGGCGUUUGAGUUGUAGUUUUACCUGGUAAAGCGAAUGAUUAGAAGUACUGGGGACGAAAUGUUUUCAACUUAUUCUCAAACUUUAAAUAGGUUCGAAGUACUACUCGCUUUAAUGGAGUAGUACAUGGAAUACAAAUGCCUAGUGGGCCAUUUUUGGUAAGCAGAACUGGCGAUGUGGGAUGAACCAAACAUCUGGUUAAGGUGCCUAACACCACGCUCAUGAGAUACCACAAAAGGUGUUGGUUGAUAAAGACAGCAGGACGGUGGUCAUGGAAGUCGACAUCCGCUAAGGAGUGUGUAACAACUCACCUGCCGAAUCAACCAGCCCUGAAAAUGGAUGGCGCUGUAGCGUGGGACCUAUACCGGAUCAGUAUCGCAAAGUCAAAUUCGGACAAAAUUAAGCGGUACUGUGUAGGAGGGUGCCGUGGUUGCUGAGAAGCUACUGGCGUGAGGCAGAGUGGAGCAGCCACGGGUACAGAUCUUGGUAG
rnacentral:rRNA from 1 species